UCUCCGGCCCUGAUCGAAGCCGUGUCAGUCUUUCUCCGUAGAUGACGCGGUCAAAAAGGAGCCAAUAGUGAACCUUUUGCCUGACGGUCGCUGCUCAGUUUUUGUAACUGACCAGCAACAUACUGGAAAAGGACACUU
ensembl:snoRNA SNORA16A small nucleolar RNA, H/ACA box 16A